rnacentral:rRNA from 1 species
UACGUAGGGUGCGAGCGUUGUCCGGAAUUAUUGGGCGUAAAGAGCUUGUAGGUGGUUUGUCGCGUCUGCUGUGAAAAUCCGAGGCUCAACCUCGGACUUGCAGUGGGUACGGGCAGACUAGAGUGUGGUAGGGGAGACUGGAAUUCCUGGUGUAGCGGUGAAAUGCGCAGAUAUCAGGAAGAACACCCGUGGCGAAGGCGGCUCUCUGGGACGGUACUGGACGCUGAGACGCGAAAGCGUCGGGGAGCGAACAGG